rfam:Bacterium F16 isolate F16 NODE_116_length_1264_cov_2.72208, whole genome shotgun sequence.
GAGUACUUGCGGGCCCCUACCGGGGUACCAAUAGUUUUCAAACUCCGAAUACCGUGUGGCAUUACCGUGGGAGUCAGACUGCGGGGGAUAAGCUCCGUAGUCGAAAGGGAAACAGCCCAGACCGCCGGCUAAGGUCCCCAAUUCAGACUAAGUGGUUUGAAGGAGGUGGAAUUGCAUAGACAGCCAGGAUGUUGGCUUAGAGGCAGCCAUCAUUUAAAGAGUGCGUAAUAGCUCACUGGUCGAGUGAUUCUGCGCCGAAGAUGAUCGGGACUAAGUCUGGAACCGAAGCCGCGGAUAUGAAUCUUUGAUUUAUAUGGUAGGAAAGCGUUGUAUACUGGGUCGAAGCAGAAGGGUAACCGACUGUGGACUGUAUACAAGUGACCAUGCAGGCAUGAGUAGCGAAAAACAAGGUGAGAAUCCUUGUCACCGAAAGCCUAAGGUUUCCCGUGGGCAGGAUCGUCCGCCCGGGGUUAGUCGGAUCCUAAGGCAAGGCCGAAAGGCGUAGUCGAUGGACAACAGGUUAAUAUUCCUGUACCGUUGUAAACUAGUGAUGGAGUGACGCAGGCGGCUAUAUGAGCAGUCGAUUGGAAGUGACUGUCUAAGCGCGUAGGCCGAAGAGUAGGAAAAUCCGCUCUUCAUCAGGCUGAGACGUUAUGGGCCCGAGAUUCUUCGGAUGAUCGGGAUUCAUAGAUGCCUUGCUGCCAAGAAAAACUUCUAAGCGUUUUGACGUUUACAGCGUCCGUACCGUAAACCGACACAGGUAGGCAGGUCGAGUAGACCAAGGUGUUCGAGAUAAACCACGUUAAGGAACUCGGCAAAUUAACCCCGUAACUUCGGGAAAAGGGGUGCCCUCAAUUGUGUAAGAAUUUACUUCUGAAGCAUACGAGGGUCGCAGCUAAGCGGCUCAGGCGACUGUUUACCAAAAACACAGCUCUCUGCUAACUCGCAAGAGGACGUAUAGGGAGUGACACGUGACCAAUGCCGAAAGGUCAAGGGAAUAGGUUAGUCUUCGGACGAAGCUUUGAACCGAAGCCCCGGUGAAUGUCGGCCGUAACUAUAACGGUCCUAAGGUAGCGAAAUUCCUUGUCGGGUAAGUUCCGACCCGCACGAAUCGUGCAACGAUCUGAGCACUGUCUCAACGUGGUUCUCGGCGAAAUUGUAGUUCCGGUGAAAAUGCCGGAUACCCGCAGCAGGACGGAAAGACCCCGUGAACCUUUACUGUAACCUGAUAUUGGUGUUUGAUACUUUAUGUGUAGUAUAGGUG